AGAAGAUCCAGUUUUCAAAUCGAGGUGAACUUUUUUCCAAAGUCUGCACUCUUAUUUAUGGAUAUAGUGUAGACAUCCUGGAUCAGAACUUACAGACUGGAUGACAUUUAUCACAGGAUAUUUGUAUUUUUGUCUCAUCCACAUCUUCAGACACUAAUCCGGCAAUAGGAAUGAGUGUCGCACAGUGCAAGGCACGUAAUAAGCAAAAGACGGAGAAGAUGUGAUUUUUUUUAAUGAGGAGGAAAAAAGACUUCAAGAAAGAUUAUUACUUGAUGAAGUGCACAGAAACAUCUUGCUUCAAAUACUGAUGCAGAUAUCUUUUAAGAAAAAGAGAGAAGAAAUUGGUCAUUGUAGG
rnacentral:lncRNA from 13 species